ACCUCGCUGGCUCAGUUGGUGGAGCAACAGACUCUUGAAAUUGGGGUUGGGGGUUCGAGCCCCCUGUUGGGUG
rnacentral:tRNA from 1 species